rnacentral:rRNA from 1 species
AUACGGAGGGUGCAAGCGUUACUCGGAAUCACUGGGCGUAAAGCGCACGCAGGCGGUCCUUUAAGUUGGAUGUGAAAGCCUACGGCUCAACCGUAGAACUGCAUCCAAAACUAUUAGACUAGAGUGUGGGAGAGGAAGAUGGAAUUAGUUGUGUAGGGGUAAAAUCCGUAGAGAUAACUAGGAAUACCAAAAGCGAAGGCAAUCUUCUGGAACACUACUGACGCUGAGGCGCGAAAGCGUGGGGAGCGAACAGGAUUAGAUACCCCGGUAGUCC